rnacentral:lncRNA from 1 species
GAGCCUGCAGGGAGCUGGGAGCUGGAUGCGCCUCAUCUGUGAUUCCAAAAGCGAUCCUGCCUACGUUCCAGGUUUCCAGCUUGUCACUGUUUAUCUGAUCAUCUCUUUGGCCAUUUUAGUACACAGGGAUUCAAUCACUAACCACGAGACUGUUUCCCAGCUUCUCCUUCCUCCCCACUCACAUGCACUUGGCCAGAUGGACCGACCCAUGCACACGCUGGUUCCGUUAUUCACAGGGCAUUCACAGCCUAUGAACCUGUGAAACCGGAGUCGCCCUGCGUCCUGGAAGGGAGACGCGCACCGCCCCCGCGUCCCGACCUCUGGCUUACCUUUUCGUGGGUGGACACAGUGGCCAGACAGCCCCAGGAGCUAGCGUGGGCUAGGGAGCGGGCGGUGCCGGCAUGCACCCUGGGGCCAGGGGAUGCCUCAGAUGAGCCGCUCUCCCGCCGGUAGGAGAACAUGCCACGCGCGGCCGGUGCGGGCCUGGCGCGGGCGGAGCCCCGAGGUCGCAGGUGCGUGUCCUCCUUGUGCGCCGAGGCCGGAAAGCUCUGCUGCCAGAUGCUACUCGAGUCCUCCAGCAGCGCGGGCAGCGCCUCCUCAGUGGAUGCACUGUCCAGCUCCUCAUCUACCUCGUUGGUGACAGCCCAGGACACGGAGCUCACGAUCACGUAGCCGGCGGCUGGGGACAACAGGGCGCUGCAGCAUAGCAACCAGGACAGGCGACUCCCUGGCCAAGCAGGACGCUCCCUGCCGGACAGCGACAUCUUCUUGGAGGCGACGCGCCCUGUGGCGGGGACCACUGACCAAGCAGCGGCCAGCCAGGGGCGCCCCCCUGCGGCGGAGCGUGCGUCGGAACCCUUCUCCUCGUGAUAGGAUUCCCGGGUUGAGGGUCUCCAAUCAGUCCGGGGGCCGGGGUUCCCUAUUGCCUUACACUCCCGUAAGAAGCGAAGUCUGCUGCACGACCAGAGUCCCCUGCGUCCACCGCCGCUGCUGGGCGCAGAGUCCACGCGUGUCUUGGUUUUCCGCAGGAUGGCAAGCGUUUUGCAGCCAGAGGGUGGGCGUUCACAGCUCAGGCUCAAUGCACUCCUCCGCUCGUCAGCUGUGCGACUCUACCAAGCUGAUUAACUUCUCUGAGCCAACAAGAAGGGCAUCACCAGGCUCAGUUAUUGCACCCCAUCACCUCCGCAGAACCGGGAACCACAAUACACCCACAUCUUCCAUCACUCACCCAGUCAGCAGUGUCCUGCGGAUCCCGAGCUUUUGUCCCCGCCGGCAAGAACACACUCAGGACAACCGGAAUCUUCUGCGGCAAAAGGCUUUAUUGCUUACUUCUUCAGGAGGAAGAGAGCGAAUGUCGAAACCCCGUCCCUUUUAUGGAGAAUUGUCCUCAGCCUCGGACGUGUCGCUCCCUGAUUGGCUGCAGCCCAUCGGCCGAGUUGUCGUCAAGGGGAAGGCAGAGCACAUGGAGUGGAAAACUACCCCGGCACAUGCGCAGAUUAUUUGUUUACUACCUAGAACACAGGAUGUCAGCGCCAUCUUGUAAUGGUGAAUGUGAGGGCGGCUCCUCACAGUUUAGUCAGCCAGCUUUUUUAUCUGACUCUGUACUUGGCCUGCUAGUACAGUUUGGAAAAUCCUUUUCAAAGGGGGAAGGUACUGGGUGGUCUUGAAUUCAUUUUGGAUAUUAUAGUAUCUGCUGAGUGCACUGUACAGCGGCUGCUGAUUCAUGUUUGUGUUUGCUACUGGACUGAGAACAAUGAAGAUUGGGAUUGUCCCAAAGAAAUAUUCAAAGAGGUCUACUUCUCCUGCAUCCUAAUAAUCUUUCUUUUCCAUUACUGGUAGGUGGUGGGCUAGAGGGGAGGUUAAAUGCUUAUUGAUGUAAGUUAUGAAAAAUAUAUGCCUACAGGGUGUUAUUCAUUCUCUCAGAUAAAUACUCAGAAGUGGGAUUAAUGGGUCUUAUGGUGGUUCUGUUUUUGUUUUCUUUUUUGAAAUAGGGUCUUUCUACAUAUUCCUAACUGUUCUAGUUUAUUUUUCCCUUUUGACAUUAAAUAAUUAAUGAAAAUAUAUUUACAUUAUUUACCUCCUUCCCUUUCUUCCUCCGAUCCUUAAAAAGUUACCCCCAAUCACUGCCCUCUCUUCCCAUCACUCCCUCUCAAACUCAUGGCUUGGUUUUUUAAAAUUAUUUUAUUUGUCUAUACAUACAUACAUACAUACAUACAUACAGAAAUGCAAUCUGCUCAGUCCAUUUAGAGUUGCUGCUGUGUACCUAUGAUUUCAGGGCUGAGCAAUUGGUAUUGCAAAACCAAUCAGGGGGCUCACCUCUGAGGGAGACUAAUUCUCUCUCUUUCGGGAGUCUUUAUCUAUGGGUGGGGCACCAUGAGAUUUCCCCUUCCAUGUAAGAGUACCCAGGAUAGCUGGUGUGCUUCUUCAGGUCCUGUCUGGACAGAUCUAUUAUUGUGCUAUCAUGGCUAAAACUUCCCUGUUGCUCCCAGACACAAUCACACAGUGGGUUUCUUGGUCCUUUGACUCUUACAAUUUAAUUUUUUUCAUAUUAUCUCCAGCACUGGUUAUUUUUUGGUUUUGCUUGUGUUUGCUUUUAAGCAUUGGCUAUCCUAGCAGGUGUGAGGUGAUAUGUCACUGUAACUUACGUCCAUCCUUCCCUGAUGACCACUAAUGUCAGCCUCUUCUGGUGUGUGCUCUGCCCAUGGACACAGCUUCUUGGUAGAGACUUUUAUUUAGGUUAUUUGCUCAUCUAAAAACUGGAUUUUAUUUUUGCUGUUGAAUUGUAGGAGGUUUCUGGAUGUAUUUUAGAUGUUAACACUUUGACCAAGUUUGCUUUCUGUUAAUGUGAUAAAACACUUUGACCAAAAGCAACUUGAGGGCUAUAUCAGUUCAGUUUCUGUUGCUGUGAUAAAACGUGGACCAGAAACAGCUUGGGAAAGAAAGGGUCUAUUUUGUUCUCAAAACUCCCAGGUCACAAUCUAUUACUGAGAGAAGCCAAGGCAGGAACCUAGAGGCUGAAACUGAAGCAGAGCCCAUGCAAGAAAGUCUGCUUUCAGGUCACAUUCAGACACUUCUACACAACUCAGGACCACCCACCUAGGGGUGGCACCACCCACUAGUCUAUUAAUCAAGCAAAUGCCGACAAGCCCACAAGACAAUCUGAUGGUGGCAAUUCCUCAACUGAGGUUUCCUCUUCCCAGGUGUCUCCAGUUUGUGACAAAUUGACACAAACUAGCCAAUACAGGGGAGGAAAGGGAGGGUUUAUUUCAACCUAUACAGUAUGGACUGCCAUUGGAGGAUCUCAAGGUAGGAACUAAAGCAGAUACCGUGGAAGAUCUCAGGUUGCUGGGUCACUCCCCGACACAUGCCUAGCUGGUUUGUCUGUAUAGCCAGCUUGCCUAUCAGCAGUGGUGCCAGCCACAAUGGGCUGAGCCUUUCCAUAUGAGUCAGACAGUCUCUCACAGACAUGGCCACAGGCCAGCCUGACUGAAGCAGUGCUUCAGACAAGAUUCCUGCUUUUUAGGUGACUUCUGUCAGGUUGACAGUAAGAACAAGCCAGCACACUCCUUGUCAGACACGUCGCUCACAACUAUUUUCUCAUUCCGUAACUUUCUGGUGUGUCAUUCACCUUGUUGGGCCUUUUAAUAAAUGGAUGCAUCCCCAAAAAGUCCUAUUGCUAGUGUGCAUUCCUGG